ensembl:lncRNA LINC01830 long intergenic non-protein coding RNA 1830
AGACCAUUCUCUGACUUCCUAAGCUCUCAGACAACUUAGGAACCAAUACACACUGCACAUGUCUCUUUCUGAAAUGUUCUCCGCCUUAGUUUUUAUGAGAGAGUGAAAGCACAGUUCUGUAAUAUAUGAAGAAAUCUGUGGAUUCUGUAGAGACAGGAACAGCGUGACAUAAAUCUCAGGAAGGCAUCUUAUUUCACAAAUUUCCCAUUUGAUUCCUGCUAUUGUGUGAGGCUGGGCUCUUCAUCUCUAUCAAAAUCAGUCUGGAAGCCUUCUGAGAUUGCCUCUAGAAAAGCCAAUACUCCCGCGGAUUGGACCACAGAUGCUAUAACCAAACUGAGAAUCAGAAACGCUAAGUAACUUGCCCAAGAAUGCAUAGUAAUAAAAGGUGACACCACUGACUUGUCCUGAUCUGGAGAGGCUCUGGCUUGCUCAGCCUGCUGUUGAGUUUGCAAUGAGAGUGUAAAGUCAAGACAGCUACAGAUGCUAACAGGACAUGGACACCUUUUCAGAUAACUGACUUCAUCUGUCUGCCUGUUUAUGUGGAGAGCUGAUUAUCAGCCAUGUGCAAAUACUGGGGAACCGAUCUGAUCUCUGUGAUGUUUUACACUACAGGCGGAGCAGAGCCAUCUUUCUAUCCAACAUUCACUCAGCGAGGCAGGAAAUAUAAUUAAGCUUUCAUGCAUAUUCCCAUGGUACCCUGCACAGUCAAUCAUUGAAAAAAAGUCAGUGCCACAAGAGCUUGUUUGUUUGAAGACAUCACCUAAGAACUUAAGAGCUCUGAGAGGCAGGAGAAGGGAUGUAAGCCAUGUGAGGCAUGGGUAGGAGUGGUGGGUUCCUUAGGGGCGUGAAAACUGGGCUCAAGGUGAUUGUGGGCAAUUAUUCUGCAAUGCACAUAAAGUAUAUUUAGUCCAAUAAGCACAAUCCAGAGAGUUUUUCAUGGGAAAAUUUCACUCCAACAUUGCAGUGCCUAAAAGAAUGGAAAUUACUUGAAAAUGGUCAGUAUUGCUAGAGUAUAAUAAUUGCUUGUUAGGCCAAAUCUAUUGUGCGGAGGACUUUACAGAAAAUAUUUAUAGACACUUUUAAUACAAAGAAAUGUUAUAGGACCAAGAAUUAUAAUAUCUAAUUUGAAUUCCAGCUUUGUCAAUUAUUGUGUAAACUUGAGCAAAUUACUGAACCACUAAAACAUCAAUUUCUUCAUCCAUAAAAUAGGUAUGGUAAGAUAUAAUCAUACUAUUGUUCUGUGGCUCAAACUAAACAAUGUAAUAUAUUUAAAGUAACUCAUAGACUACCUAGACCUCAAUAAGCUGUGAUUGGUUUUAUUAAUCUUUUUGUUGUUAUUCACGAAACACUAGUUCAAAUACAUAUAGUGAAUGCAUUUAGAAAGCUAUACAUACUAGACUCUCUUUUUGAUAGUUACAGUGCAUGUACGAAUUUUAAAGGCUCUGAAAUGGUCUAAGUUAAAAACAAUAACAAAAUAGCAAUAGGAAAAAAAAAAAAAGGACACCUGUGUGGUUAACCCAGUAUUUUCCAAAUGUAUUUGAAAAUAAGCCCUGUUUUUUUUCUUUUCUUUUUUUUUGCAGAGUCUCACUCUGUUGCUCAGGCUGGAGUGCAGUGUCAUGAUCUUGGCUCGCUGCAACCUCCACCUUCCAGGAUCAAGUGAUUCUCAUGCCUCAGCCUCCCAAGUAACUGGGAUUACAGGUGUGUGCCACCACGCCCAGCUAAUUUUUGUAUUUUUAGUAGGGACAGCAUUCAACAAUGUUGGCCAGGCUGGUCUCAAACUCCUGACCUCAAAUGAUUCUCCCAACUUGGCCUUCCAAAGUGCUGGGAUUAUAGGCAUGAGCCAUUGUGCCCGGCUGGGCCCUAUUUUUUUCUAUAUUUAAUUCUUACUACUAUGUCAUAGAACUAGGAUUUCACAUACUUUGGUAAAAGUCAACUUUGUCCAAAUUCUUUAGUUUUCAGAUCCCCAAACAAGUCUCUAUCCAAUAUGAGGUUAUAGCCCUUACCACAGGACACUCCAUACCAUGCGCUAUGGUGAAAGACAGACAUCUAUUACAAUCUCAAAGUUGGUUCCAUAUUGGAAUCACCUAGAUUACUUUAAAAAUUACUGGUGUUUGGGUCCCACCAGAGAUUUCUAUAUAAUUGGAAUAGAUUAAGGCCUGGUCUGAAAAUCUGUUUGAAACAGCCUAGAUAAUUCCAAAAGGCAGCCAAGUUUAAGAACUAGUGCAAAUGAUAAUCCUAGGGCUACUUUUUUUUAACACCAUUGUCAUAUUUUUCAUUCAGAUUUGAGGGUAAGCCUGCAAUGUUUUUUACAAAGCUCAAGAAUUUGGUAAAUACCCAAUGAUCAUGAUCAGGUAUCUCUCUGUAAUCAUUCUUUUAUUAACUCAUUUAAUAAUCAUAUACUGAUCACAAAGGAAACAGCUAGGUUCAAUAGGUUCUGUUCAACCCUCCUAACUAACUCCUUGCCCACCCACUUCCCAAAGCCCUCCCGUGUUUCUCAGUACUACUACUCACUUGGAUUAUUUUACCAUGCAGAAUACCACAUGGGGUGUUCUGCCCAGCUAAUAAUUAUCUUUUUGUUUGUGCCUAAUUCACGAAGCAUCCAUCCCCCUGCCCUCCAGCUGAACCAUGAGGUCCUAAACUCAUAUAUCAGCAAUGGAGAUAGAUAGGAAGGCAGAGACAGCCUCAUACAGAAUAAAGGACAAAAGCUUCAGAGUAAAAUAUACAUGAGUGUAAACCCUGAUUCUACCUCUUAUAAUCUGCAUGGUCUUAGAAAUUUUAAUUUCUCUGAGCUCAGUUUUCUUAUUUAUAAAAUAGGCGUGAUAAUAUUAACCUCACAUAGUGUGAAGAUUCAAUGAGAUAAACCACGUGAAAUUUAUAGAUCCAGGCAUAACACACUAGAGAUGAUCAAACAAGAAAGUGCUUAUUUAUCCAUGUUGACCAUUUUGAGACCUUAGCUUAUUGCACCACACUUGUACUGAGCAGGAUGUAGACUCCUCAAAGGGUAAUCUUGGAAAAUAGACAUUUCAAGAGCCAGGAGAAAGAAAGACUUAUGGUACUUUCAGCAAAGUUAGUUUUCUUGAACUCAUUGUUUUUCUGCUAUAAAUAAAAAAUUGAAGAAAAAAUAAUAUGGUCAUAUUGAUACAUGAAUGUAGAGAGGGAAUAUAUUACUAUUCUGGAUAACUAAU